rnacentral:sRNA from 1 species
AUAUCUCUCUGUACGGGAAGGAUGAGAAGCUUCGACCAAGGUUCGAUUCGAGCGCAGCGAGAAAGCGUUGCCGCAGGCAACGACCCGAAGGGCGAAGCGCGCAGCGCUGAGUCAUCCUUCCCCCACCACC